CUCUCUGAUACACUCCUCCUCUUUUCCUCCCACAUAGAUAUUUCUUCCUAAGCCACCCCCUUUCCCCCGUCCUUUCCUGCUUUCGCAUUAACACCCCCUCAGCUCUAUCACUCACUGGCAAGCAUGCUUCUCAUUCAGAGAUGUGGUCUCCACUUGAAUCCUCGCUUGCCUUUUCUUUUAUAGUAUAAAUUUCCUCUCCCUCAUCCCCUGUUAUUUAUAAAGGAAAGGAAGGAAGAAGAAGAGAGACAUGUCUGCAAAGAGAGUGAUGAACAGCAAGAGAGAGACAAAAAAUGCGCAAGCUGUAAAGGAAUACAAGAAGGGAGCAGGAUCCAGUGAAGACGACUGUGAUUAAUAGAAGAGAGUGGAAAAAUAAAGUAAGGGAGGAACACAGGAUGAUGGACAGCCAUGCUGGAAAUGAAACCACAGCUUCUCUCCUCCACUUCACGGUACUGGGGCCAAAGUCCAGGUUAUUAGACUGGAGCUAUUGCCUCCAGUCUUGGCGGCUGUGAAAAUGGAUAUAAUUUCUGAUCUUCACAUUCCUGUAAGAAGCUCCAUCUUUCAAGAAUGUAUCGCAUGUAAAUGUGAUUGGCUGUUAUUCAUUAUCACAGUGUUGGCCUCUGCAUAAGGUUGAAUUGAGACUUUCGUGUGACACAUCAUUGCCUGGAAAUACUAAAUGAUGAACAUAGUUGUGAAAAAUAAUUGUGGUGUAUAUAACCAUAAAAUUAAGUUUGGACAUGUUACAAUGUUUAUAUGUUUUUAUAAAAAUUGUCUAGUCUAUAGCUAAGCCUUUUCCCUGUCUACCAUACUUUCUUGUUGCUUUUCAACACGGUCUGAAAGUCUGUAUUUCGGCAGGCGAUGACUCUGACGCCUAGCAGGCAUGUUGGCUCCGGAACAAAAGAUUUCAUCUACGUUAAUUGCAAAGGCACACAGGGUCAUUCCUGUUUUGUUCAUUCUUCAUUCCUGCUUGGUUGGAAUGGCAGCUGUGAUGUCUGCGCUGUCUUUAAGUCUUUGUGCAGGUUUGAUUCUUCUUAUGUCCUAAUGCUGUUAGAAUAUAAUAAAUCACAUUUAAAUGAGUUCACGUCCAAAAGUGACUUACUGCUUAACACAACCUAUGAUGUGUUACAGUCUACCCUAUAAUUGCUUUAGUCCAGUAGCUAUAUAAAUAUACCAUGUUCAUAUUUGCAAUCUUUUAAAAAUAAACAUUUUUCCCUUUAUUUUAAAUGUACCAAUGCACAGCUUUGUCCUACUGUACAAAUGAGCUGCAUAGAAGGUUACCUACUGUAAAUGUAAGCCUUUAUUUAGACUUUACUUAUAAGAAUUGCUGUACGUAAUGU